UCCAGAAGGGACAGGUCCAGACUGCCCUGGCCUUGCUGGGAGGGAGGGUGGGAUGGGGGUGAGAAUGGUGACCAUCCUGCUGCUGCUGCUCCUGGGUCCUGGUACCAUCACAGUCAUCUAUGGGACACCAAGGACAGCACCAGGUGCGCUGCACUCUGGAGCUGGGCACAUGAGGUUCUCCUGUUCUGGCACCAUAAGGAGGGGCACACCGGUGUGCCUGGGGAGAAGCUGGCACCCCUGUGUCUGGGACAGAAAAGAAACCAGGAAUCCAGUGUGACGUGCACCUGGCAGAGUCCAGGGGAGGCUUGGUGCAUCCAGGGGGUGGUGGUCCCUGAAUCUCCCUGACACAUUCUCUGGAUUUACCUUCAGUGCUUACUACAUGAGCUGGGUUGGUCACAUUAGAAACAACGAUGAUAGUCACACAAUAGAAUAGUCUAUACCUGUGAAAGGCAGAGUACCCAUCUCCAGAGAUCAUCCAAAAGCAAUGCCUACUUGGAAAUGAGCAGUGUGGGAGCCAAAGGCACAGCCCUGUAUUUCUGUGGGAGAGACAUAUCUCCAUGUGACACAAACCUCCCUUCUGAGGUGCUCUGGACCAGCAGGGGGCACCCAAGUUCAUCAGAAUAUUAUUUUGCUGCUAGGAGCACAAUUGGUAUUUAGAAAUCUGGAGUUUUCAUUUUGGAGCAGGUUCCUAGCAAGAAGCACAGACCCCUUUCUGCAUGCUGCAAACUGCCAAUUUAAAAUACUACCUAAUACUGUGGCACAGAGUGGGGCUUUCCUGGGUGUGGCCCAUCAAGUUGACAAGAUUUGCCUGCUCCUGUACCUAUUUUUUGAGUUUUUUUUCCUAUCAGAAUGCUAGAAUUUUAAAAAAAAGCUCUGUGUCUUCUAAGGUAAUAUACAUUUCCUCACUCUUAGCUUAUUAACAUAAUGAAAUAUUACAUUAUUUUACUGUAGAAUAAUGCAGUUAAUUUAAUUACAUUAAUUUAACUUAAUGUAAUUAAUUUAAUUAAUUACAUUAAUUAAAAUAAUGUAAAUAUUACAUUAUUUACUGUAGAAACACAAUUGGUUGUGCUGUGUUCUUUGUGUGGUGUUGGAUUCUUUUCUCAGAUUUGUUGAGAAUUAUUACAGAUAUGUUCACAGAAAUGUCAAUCUUUGGGGUCAUUUUCUUAUCUUGUAAUACCUUUGUCUAUAUCUGGAAUUAAUAAUGAUGGCCUCAUAGAGCAAGUUGGGAAGCAUUCUUUCCUCUUAAAUUUUCUAAACAAUUUAAGUAAAAUCAACAUUAUUUCUUCCUUCACUGUCUGGUGGACUAUACCAUUGAAAGUUUCUUUUCUCGGAAAGGUUUUAACUAAGAAUUUAAUUUUGCUAUUUCUUUUCCAGGCUCUUUCUUUGAAUGUGUAUGUUCCAUCUAGGAGUAUCAGCUCCUUAAGCUUUUACCUUAGACCCCUGUUCAUCAUCAUCCUGCAAAGUGGAGCCUCCUUAGUCCCUCACAUUGAUUCCAGUGACUGGGCAUGACUACAACCCCUGACCUGCAAGUAUAGGAAAGCUGCAGAGGGCUGCAGAAAGAAAGUCCCAGUCUUCCGGUUUUGCACUUGCAUUUCAAUGGUGAGACUUUGUUUUUAUGUGAUUUGUACAAAACAAUUUGAUUCACAGCAGUGUAAAUUUAAAAGAAAAUCUAGGGAAAGUGAAAACCAAACACUGGGGAAGGCAAUGCCAUGCAAGCCACAUUACACAAUGGUUUGGAGGAUUUCUUUUGGUUCAGGCCUGGGGUCUCCCCUAUCAGCCCACCCCACUGAUCCUUGGUUCCAUGAUGUGAAUCUGGUACACAGCCUCCCAAAGGAAAUGCUUCCUGAUGGUGCUACUCUUUAUUCUUUCAAAGAACCAACUCUUUGAUUCAUUGAUUUUUUUGUAUUGUUUUCUUAGUCUCUAUUGCAUUGAUUUCUGCUCUGAUUUUUAUAAUUUUCUCUCUUCUUUUGGCUUUGGGCUUGACUUGCUCUUCUUCUUUUAGAUGUUUAAGGUGUAACAUCAGGUUAUUUAUUUGUAUUCAUUCUGUCUUCCUGAUGUGGGAACUCAGUGCAAUAAAUUUUCCUCUGAGGACGGCUUUCAUUGCAUCCCACAGAUUCUGGUAAGUUGUAUUUGUGUUUUCAUUUGUUUGUAGGUAUUGUUUAACUUCUUCUUUAAUUUCCUCUGUGACCCACUGAUUACUCAAGAGUGUGUUAUUCAGUUUCCACGUGUUUGUGGGAUUUUUGUAGUAUCUUUUAUCAUUAGUUUCUAAUUUCAUAGCGCUAUGAUCCGAUAACAUGCAAGGGAUAAUUUCAACUCUUUUGCAUUUAUGUAAAUAUGUUCUGUGAGUUAAUAUAUGGUCUAUUUUAGAGAAUGACCCAUGUACUGCUGAGAAGAAUGUGUAUUCUGUUGUUAUUGGGUGGAAUACUCUGUAUAUGUCUAUCAAGUCCAUUUGUUCACAGUUGUGAUUCAGUUCUUUUAUUUCUUUGCUGAUUUUCUGUCUGGUUGAUCUGUCCAUUGGUGUCAAUGGUGUGUUAAGAUCUCCUGUUAUAAUUGUAUUACUGCUAAUUUGGUUUUUCAUUUCUGUUAAUACUUGUUUUAUAUAACUGGGUGCUCUGGAAUUUGGUGCAUUUAUAGUUAAGAUAGUUAUCUCUUCCUCUUGAAGUUUUCCCCUAACCGGUAUGUAGUGACCUUCUUUAUCUCUUCUGAUCAUUCUUGGUUUGAAGUUCAUGUUGUCUGCGAAUGGAAUAGCUACCCCCGCUUUUUUUUGGGUUCCUGUUGCAUGAAGUAUUGUUUUCCAUCCUUUGACUUUCAGUCUGUGGGUAUCCUUUUGGGUUAGAUGGGUUUCUUGUAGACAGCAUAAGGUGGGAUGUUGUUUCUUGAUCCAUUCUGCCAGUCUGUUUCUUUUAAUUGGUGCAUUGAGACCAUUUACAUUAAUGGCUAUAACUGUUGUAUAUUGGUUUAUUGUUGACAUGUUAUCUUUCUGCAGUUGCAUCUUUAUCUUUCUGUUCUGUUUAAUUGUCUGCUUCGUUUAAUGGUUUUUUACUAAAUGUAUUUAAACUGUCUUUCAGUAUUCUUUGCAGGGUUGGCUUGGUGAUCAUGAAGUUCUUCAGCUGUUCUUUUCAUGGAAGUAUCUUAUUUCUCCAUUGAUUUUGAAGGACAGUUUUUCAGGGUACAUCAGCCUAGGUUGGAAAUCAUUUUCUGUAAGUAUCUGAAAUACUUCACUCCAUGCUCUUCUUGACUUUAUUGUUUGUGCUGAGAAGUCUGCUGUGAUUCUGAUAGGUUUUCCUUUAUAGGUGAUCUGUCUUUUCUCUCUGACAGCUUUUAAUAUUCUAUUCUUUUGUUUGAUUUCCGGGAUGGUCAUUAUUAUAUGCCUGGGUAUAGUUUUAUUUUGGUUAUGUCUAUUUGGAGUUCUAUAUGCUUCAUGGAUCUUGAUAUCAGUUUCCAAUCUCGUGUUUGGGAAAUUUUCAGCUAUUACUUCUCUAAAUAUCCUCUUGACAUCCUUUGUAUUGUCGCCUUCUUUUUCAUUUAUCCCUAUCAACCUUAUGUUGUUUUUCUUUGCAUCAUCUUGCAGGUGUUGAUUUGUUAUUUCCUGAUUUCUUGUUAUUUUUAAAAGAUCUUUCCUUUCAUGUUCACUGGCUGCAAUCUUGUCUUCAAGGUCUGGUUUGAAAUUCUAUCUUCACAUACAUUGAGGCUGUUUUUACAACUUUCAGUGGAAUUUUUGAUGUCCUGUAUAUCUUUUUGCAUCUGUUUUAUAUAUUCUGUUUGUUUCUUUUUUUUUCUUUUUUUUUUUAUUUAAGAGGAAAAAGAGAAAAACACAAAACAAACCAAAGCGGCGUAAGGGUACACGCAAUACAGAACUACAAAACAAAACAAAACAAAACAAAACAAAACAAAACAAAAAACCAUAACAGUAAGAAAUUACCUGCUAGUAGAUUACACACUAUUUUCUUGAAAACAGUUCCUCAAAUCACAGUAUCAAAGAACACAAGGUGGACAUUCAAACAGGGAGACUGCAAACAGCUGUGUUCAAUGUUCCAAAAACAUUGAUAAAGUCAGCUAUUUAACACCCCCAAACACACUUGCUGUUAUAUCCGUUAGAGCUCUUUUUCUUUUUUUUUUUCCCCUCUCUUUUUUACAACAAAAUUUACACAUCUUGGAUUUUAUUACUCCUUAGUGCUUAUUACUUUCAUGGGGGGGGGGGGAAGAAUACAGUCAAAUAUGGCAAAACAAAGCUGUCAGUCAAUACCAAGGAUAGACAUAGCGCAUGGUGUAGAACAGAGUACAAGUUUAUCAACAAUAGUUAUCAACGUUGUCCCUUGUUUCCUUAAAAAGAAUUGUCUAUCUUAUUAGAUAUUAUAAAGUUGGACAAAACAGUAGAGAACAAGACCAAUAAAACUUAGGCAUUGUAAACAUUACAGGACUUCCAAAGAAGACAAUAGUCAAACCAGAAUUGGUAUCUUAGUGAAUCUUAUUGUCUUCAAAGUAGUUGCCUAUGUCUUCAAACUUGAUACUAUCAUAUAGAAUGGAACAGAGUCUAAUCAGUCAAAACAAGAUCGUGGGAGUACUACAGGACUUCAAAACAAGUUAAUAGGAAAUCGAAAAGAGUUACUAUUUAUAUAUCCUAAUUUUUUUUUGAAUUUUUUCUUUAAUUAAGACAAACAUAAGAAAUGGCUAAAUAAUUUUUUUUGAGACAAUAAGGGGGAGAUUGAGAUAAAACAGGACAUAACAAUAUAACAAUACAGGUCAAAGCAUGAUUGUUUCAGCAACCUAGUGGUUCACCACCAAAUAACCCAACUUAAUAGUAGUUACCAAGUGUCUGUCUUUUUCCUUGAAAUAUUUGAAUAAAACUUCAUAUACUAUAGCUUCAAAUAUUUCCAUAUCAAGAAGCCCAGAAUAAAGCCUUUCCAAUUAAUAAGUGAAAACUUUAUAAGGCUUCAAGGCCACAUAAUGGGGAAUCAUGAUUACCACAUAUUUUUAUAUAUUUGAAUCAUUACUUACAUUAGGGAAACUAUUCGGUAU